AAUAGGAACUAAAGUUGUCUGCCAAACGUUAUAAAGAUCUGUUUACGGAAAGUGGUCCUUAUUUGAGCUACAAGUUUUGUACAACAUGUACAGGGUGUUUCUUAAUUGAUGUAUCAAAAGCUCUAUAAGCUGAAGUACUUCCCCACGUUGGGGAUGCAGCUUCACGUGAUGAGAUAUUCAACAGACACCAUGAGAUGGCAACAGAGAGUGCUGUAAUCGACGACCACAAGGACUCAAGGCUCAACGAACACAAGG